rnacentral:rRNA from 1 species
ACGGGUGAGUAACACGUGGGUAACCUGCCUGUAAGACUGGGAUAACUCCGGGAAACCGGGGCUAAUACCGGAUAACACCUACCCCCGCAUGGGGGAAGGUUGAAAGGUGGCUUCGGCUAUCACUUACAGAUGGACCCGCGGCGCAUUAGCUAGUUGGUGAGGUAAUGGCUCACCAAGGCGACGAUGCGUAGCCGACCUGAGAGGGUGAUCGGCCACACUGGGACUGAGACACGGCCCAGACUCCUACGGGAGGCAGCAGUAGGGAAUCUUCCGCAAUGGACGAAAGUCUGACGGAGCAACGCCGCGUGAGUGAAGAAGGUUUUCGGAUCGUAAAACUCUGUUGUUAGGGAAGAACAAGUGCCGUUCGAAUAGGGCGGCGCCUUGACGGUACCUAACCAGAAAGCCACGGCUAACUACGUGCCAGCAGCCGCGGUAAUACGUAGGUGGCAAGCGUUGUCCGGAAUUAUUGGGCGUAAAGCGCGCGCAGGUGGUUUCUUAAGUCUGAUGUGAAAGCCCACGGCUCAACCGUGGAGGGUCAUUGGAAACUGGGGAACUUGAGUGCAGAAGAGGAAAGUGGAAUUC